ensembl:antisense Gm28424 predicted gene 28424
AUUUUCCUCCCAGAGCCAACCGGCGUUAGAUGCGAGCGGGUUCUACUUCCUGAGGGGGGAAGGAAGCUGCUCUUUUAAAGCAACUGCAGUAGCCACGUGAGCCGAGCGUCUCACCUCAGCUGAUGAGGCAGUUCGUCGAGACACUUUGCCGCACGAUCCCCCAGGGGGCACAGGCCUUGGUGGCAAGGCAAAUUUGCAAUCUGCUCACGUUAAAAAAUGGUGAGCAGUGACUUCAGAGUUGAGAAAAAACAGGGAAAUAGGAUAAAAACUGUUUAGGACGUCGGAGCAUGGUACCUGCAUAGACUGGGCAUGGAGUUGGGGAGGGAUGGAUCGUAAUAUAGACGCUGUUCUAAAACGAGCAUGUUUAUUGUUACUGUGCAGUACAGGCACGCCCUAGCAACUGUGGGGAGGUUAAAGGACAGUUUGAAGGAGUUGGUGGGAUUUGGGGAUCGAAAUGAGGUUGGCAGGUUUGCUCAGCAAGUGCCUUUUUCCCUCUGAGACUUCUGGCUACCCGCACCUAUUUCUUUGAAGCAUAGUCGCAAAAGUUGUGUAGCAGAAGAUAGCCUUGAACUGCUGAUUUUCCCGCCUCAGGUCCUGGGAAUUAGUCUUGGGCCACCAUGUCUAAGCUUUUUGUUAAUUGAAGGGAAGCGGGGAAUGAGUAAGUUUGGUUUGAUUUGGGUUUUUCCAGUUUGUCGGCAUUCCACCCCUGGCUGUCCCUGUGCUGUAGACCAGGCUGACCUCAAACUCGGAGAUCUGUCUCCCAAGUGCUGGGAGAAAACGUGUGUGCCAUCACCUAGAUUUCAGUUACAGAUAAGGGUCAGACCUAGAGAAGAGGCUCAGAAUUGGAGAUGUGUGACAGGACCUGAGAAUGGAAAUAAAUUCAUUUGGGCUGGAGGGCACAGAACCGUAUUAUACUGUACUUUCAUGCAUAGCAACCGUUACUUUCUGAUCGUUGGCUUCCUGUUACUACGGUUUCUAUCUCUGGUACCUGGCUUAUUUAUACCUCAUCGCCUACCACCAGAUUUUAUUGAUAUUUAUUUAUUUAUUUAUUUUGGUUUUUUCAAGACAGGGUUUCUCUGUGUAGUCCUGGCUGUCCUGGAACUCACUCUAUAGACCAGGCUGGCCUCGAACUCAGAAAUCUGCCUGCCUCUGCCUCCCAAGUGCUGGGAUUAAAGGCGUGUGCCACUACCGCCCUGCUUAUUGACCUUUUUAGAGAGUUCAGCAAUGUAGCCUCCUAGACUAAUGCUUCCCUGGUCGCUCCCCCACCCCCUUCACUAUACCCCCAUCAACCAAAAAAUAAACUUCAACUUCUGUAUGGU